rnacentral:rRNA from 1 species
AUUGAACGCUGGCGGCGCGCUUAACACAUGCAAGUCGAGCGAGAAAGGGCUUCGGCCCCAGUACAGCGGCGCACGGGUGAGUAACACGUGGGUAAUCUACCCCUGAGUGGUGGAUAACCCUCCGAAAGGAGGGCUAAUACAGCAUAAGACCACGGCGUCCUCGGAUGUCGCGGCCAAAGCGGGCCUCUUCAUGAAAGCUCGUGCUCGGGGAUGAGCCCGCGGCCCAUCAGCUUGUUGGCGAGGUAAAAGCUCACCAAGGCAAAGACGGGUAGCUGGUCUGAGAGGAUGAACAGCCACACUGGAACUGAGACACGGUCCAGACUCCUACGGGAGGCAGCAGUGGGGAAUCUUGCGCAAUGGGCGAAAGCCUGACGCAGCGACGCCGCGUGAGCGAUGAAGGCCCUCGGGUCGUAAAGCUCUGUGGGGAGGAAAGAAUAAGGGUAGGUUAAUAUCCUGCCUGAUGACGGUACCUCCUUAGCAAGCACCGG